rnacentral:rRNA from 1 species
GUAGGUGGCAAGCGUUGUCCGGAAUUAUUGGGCGUAAAGCGCGCGCAGGUGGUUCUUUAAGUCUGAUGUGAAAGCCCCCGGGCUCAACCGGGGAGGGUCAUUGGAAACUGGGGAACUUGAGUGCAGGAGAGGAAAGUGGAAUUCCACGUGUAGCGGUGAAAUGCGUAGAUAUGUGGAGGAACACCAGUGGCGAAGGCGACUUUCUGGCCUGUAACUGACACUGAGGCGCGAAAGCGUGGGGAGCAAACAGGAUUAGAUACCCUGGUAGUCCACGCCGUAAACGAUGAGUGCUAAGUGUUGGGGGGUUUCCGGCCCCUCAGUGCUGCAGCUAACGCAUUAAGCACUCCGCCUGGGGAGGUACGGUCGCAAGACUG